UACGUAGGGUGCAAGCGUUGUCCGGAAUUAUUGGGCGUAAAGAGCUCGUAGGCGGUCUGUCGCGUCGGAUGUGAAAAUCCAGGGCUCAACCCUGGACCUGCAUUCGAUACGGGCAGACUAGAGUUCGGUAGGGGAGACUGGAAUUCCUGGUGUAGCGGUGAAAUUCGUAGAUAUUGGGAAGAACACCAGUGGCGAAGGCGGCUCUCUGGACCGAUACUGACGCUGAGGCGCGAAAGCGUGGGGAGCAAACAGG
rnacentral:rRNA from 1 species